ensembl:lncRNA
GGGAGGAGUAGCUUCAAGUUGUUCACUGGAACACGCCCAUUCCAUGGUAUCAGACUCCGUCAAGGACAUUGAGUCGUCAACGACAAUCUGUUCCUCCUAACCGCUGAAGGAAAUCAAGCCACUCGCAGCAGAUGAGGAUCACUGAUCUUCUUGUGUAAAGAACAUUGGUGAUUCGAGGAGACAGAUGCAAUCCACGAACGAAGAGUGCCCCAGUAAGUGCAGCCUCCAGGUGGGCACUGCCCAGACAGGCGACACUCUCACUGUGCCCGUCAGCGUUGUGCAGGGAACCACACUUGCGGUGCGACAUUUGAAACAACACAUGCAGGAAAUUUGCUCAGAAAAUUGCACUUUUAAGCCGGAUGGCCACAGGGGAAGUGCAAGUGAUUGAGCUGGUGACUGGUCUGUGAAACUGUAAGAGUGUAAGUGUUAGUUUUGUGUUUCUGCCCCUGCUGUUCCCACACAAGGUUGUAGCACUUUAUUUCAUAAAUGUGAUCCAACAACGGUAAAGGGCAAAUAUUAACCAUAUAUGCUGUUUAUAUUGCUUGUAAUUGGGAUGCAGUAAACUUCUCAUGAGUAUUUUAACAUACAUUAACAUACAUUUAAAAUACAGCAGGUCAGACCCGCAAACACUGGCUGAAUAACAAAAUUAUGAACACCACACAAGGGUUAACUUUUAAACUUUUUUGUUGCUUUUCAAUGCUUUACUUGCCAGCCAUUGUACUUGCCAGUGUUUUUUUUUUUUUUUUUUGGGGGGGGGGGGUCUUGUAAAUUGCCUUGUAAACCCCAUGAAAUUCGCAAAUAGUGCAUAAACAGCCAUCUUAAUAGAGGGCAGGGUUUGCAUUUCUCCUUAGUUCUCUUACGCUUUUUUCUCCGUAUUCCCUCCCUUCUCCUUCUAGUUUUUCUGACUAUAUUUGCCAGUCUUUGUAUCUGCUGCAGAAGAAGAACAGCAUACUGCAAGGCAGUCAUCCCAAAAUCACAGCCGUUUCAGAGACUUUAUUAAGAAGACACCAGGUUUAACUCAAAAGGAAUGUCUACUGAAGGGGGGUCUGGUGGACCAACUGUAAGACGGCAGUCAGAGUUUAAUCCAGAGACCAUCUUGAGUGAGGAAGAAUGCAAGAAAGCAAUUGCAUUCAUGAGCCAUUCUUCUGAUGAGGAUGCCAUCAAGAAGAAAAUGAAAUUGACAUUCGACUAUCGCCACAACAUGGUUCUUGACCCCAUGCAGUCAAGAGAUAUAUUGACAGUCUUUCCACGAUUCACAGACAUUAAAGGCUUGAUUGAGCAAGACUUUGUUCUGAUGUUUGGAGAAGGAGUGUCGGGAAAGCUACUGGAGAAGUGGACCACAUUCAAGAAAUAAAUGAUUCAGCAGUGCAAAAAGCUUCCCAGCACCAGUGAUUUGGAAGAACUACUACUAGCAGCUAAAUCUCCUACUGGUGACUCAGAAGAGGGUGCUAAUUUUGUUUGGGACAGUGACCUCUCUUCAAUUAUACUUCUGUUGCAUCUGAUCCCACCUUCUGCCCAAGGCCGGAAAAGACCAGGAAAGAGUGAAACAAACAUUGAGGAGCAUCUUCGAGAAAUUGCAGCUAUUGCUCAGCCCUACCUCCUGGCUGUGGGACCUCAGAAGGGUUCAGUUC